AACAUCAAUUCCAAAAUGGUAUGCUCUUCCUCUCUUUCUAUAACUGCCUCUGCCAGGGAAUGGCCACAGAAAUCCUCCACUGCAGAAGAUGAAGGCAUGGAUCCAACCCAAUAUUAUGAAAAUAGGCUGAGAGCACUCGCAGCUCAGAAGGAAGCUGGGAACAAUCCUUAUCCUCACAAAUUUGCAACUUCACUGACCAUUCCUGACUAUGUGAAGAAAUAUGAAAGUUUAAAUAGUGGGGAUCAUCUUGAGGACGAUGAAGAAAGACUGGCUGGGCGGCUUAUGAACAAGCGGUCAUCAUCUGCAAAGCUAUUUUUUUAUGAUCUACAUGGUGGUGGUGCUAAAGUUCAAGUUAUGGCUGAUGCAAGGAAAUCGGAUUUGGGUGAAGAAGAAUUUACUAAAUUUCAUUCUUCUGUGAAGCGAGGUGAUAUCGUUGGGAUUAUUGGGUUUCCAGGAAAAAGUAAGAGGGGAGAGCUGAGUAUUUUUCCCAAAACAUUUAUAGUUCUGUCCCACUGUCUGCACAUGAUGCCCCGGCAAAAAAUUGGUCCUGGGUCAGACAAUGCCAAGAAAACUGAUGUUUGGGCUCCAGGAAGUGGCAGGAAUCUUGAGGCUUAUAUAUUGAAGGAUCAGGAAACACGAUACAGACAACGUUACUUGGAUUUGAUGCUGAACGUGGAGGUUCGGGAAAUAUUCAAAACCAGGGCAAAAAUUAUUUCUUACAUCAGAAAUUUUCUUGAACAUCGUGAAUUUUUGGAGGUUGAAACGCCCAUGAUGAACAUGAUUGCAGGAGGAGCUGCAGCCCGCCCAUUUGUAACCCAUCACAAUGACUUCAAUAUGAAGCUUUACAUGCGCGUUGCACCUGAGCUUUUUCUUAAGGAGCUGGUUGUUGGUGGGCUUGAGAGGGUGUAUGAAAUUGGGAAACAGUUUAGGAAUGAGGGAAUUGACUUAACACACAAUCCUGAGUUCACAACUUGCGAGUUUUACAUGGCUUUCGCUGAUUACAAUGACCUGAUGGAGUUAACUGAAGAAAUGCUCAGUGGGAUGGUCAAGGAACUUACCGGUGGCUAUAAAAUUAAAUAUCAUGCCAACUGUUCAGAUAGUGACCCCAUUGAGAUUGACUUCACUCCUCCGUUCAGGCGAAUUGAUAUGGUAGAGGAGUUGGAGAAGAUGGCAGAUCUAAGCAUACCUAAAGAUCUCUCCAGUGAGGAAACUAAUAAAUAUCUGGCAGAUGCAUGUGCGAAGUUUGAUAUAAAAUGCUCUCCCCCUCAAACAACAGCUAGAUUGUUAGACAAACUUGUAGGGCACUUUCUGGAGGAGACAUGCAUAAACCCUACUUUUAUUAUCAAUCAUCCAGAGAUAAUGUCUCCCUUGGCAAAGUGGCAUAGAUCAAAACCAGGCCUAACUGAACGGUUUGAGUUGUUCAUCAACAAGCACGAGCUUUGCAAUGCAUACACUGAAUUGAAUGAUCCUGUGGUGCAACGCCAGCGUUUUGCUGAUCAACUCAAGUCAGGACCGACAGUCGGGUGAUGAUGAAGCAAUGGCCCUAGAUGAAACAUUCUGUACAGCUCUUGAAUAUGGAUUGCCUCCAACUGGUGGUUGGGGAAUGGGUAUUGAUCGAUUUGCAAUGUUGAUAACGGAUUCACAGAACAUAAAGGAAGUUUUACUCUUUCCAGCCAUGAAACCACAGGAUGAACCUUCCAAAGACAGCAACAAAAAAGCUCAGGAUGAACCUCCAUCUGAAGAGCUCAAAAAGAACGUCACGUUGUCUUGAGAUUUCUAAACAUCACUGCAACAUCAGGGGAAAAAAGAAGGUUUUAACACAUUUCAAUUUCUGGUAAAACGGAUUGGUCUUAUAAUUUUAUUGUGGUUCGAUGUUCAGAAAUCAUUUCAGUCAAGCCAAUUAUUGCAACUCAUACAUCUAUGUGCAGAUGCUCGAAGCUUUUAGCCCACACACAAGUGCGUGUCUGGGCGUGUGUAACAUUGCCCAUUAUAAACUGGAUGUGUUUUGAUGGUUUUA